AUUGAACGCUUGCGGCAAGCCUAACACCUGCAAGUCGAACGAGUGGCGGACGGGUGAGUAAUGUCUGGGAAACUGCCUGAUGGAGGGGGAUAACUACUGGAAACGGUAGCUAAUACCGCAUACCAUCGGAUGUGCCCAGAUGGGAUUAGCUAGUAGGUGGGGUAAAGGCUUACCUAGGCGACGAUCCCUAGCUGGUCUGAGAGGAUGACCAGCCACACUGGAACUGAGACACGGUCCAGACUCCUACGGGAGGCAGCAGUGGGGAAUAUUGCACAAUGGGCGCAAGCCUGAUGCAGCCAUGCCGCGUGGAUGAAGAAGGCCUUCGGGUUUUAAAGGACUUUAAGUUGGGAGGCGUUACCAACAGAAGAAGCACCGGCUAACUCCGUGCCAGCAGCCGCGGUAAUUC
rnacentral:rRNA from 1 species